rnacentral:rRNA from 1 species
GACGAACGCUGGCGGCGUGCUUAACACAUGCAAGUCGAACGGAAAGGCCCUGCUUUUGUGGGGUGCUCGAGUGGCGAACGGGUGAGUAACACGUGAGUAACCUGCCCUUGACUUUGGGAUAACUUCAGGAAACUGGGGCUAAUACCGGAUAGGAGCUCCUGCUGCAUGGUGGGGGUUGGAAAGUUUCGGCGGUUGGGGAUGGACUCGCGGCUUAUCGGCUUGUUGGUGGGGUAGUGGAUUACCAAGGCUUUGACGGGUAGGCGGCCUGAGAGGGUGACCAGCCACAUUGGGACUGAGAUACGGCCCAGACUCCUACGGGAGGCAGCAGUGGGGAAUAUUGCGCAAUGGGCGGAAGCCUGAUGCAGCAACGCCGCGUGCGGGAUGACGGCCUUCGGGUUGUAAACCGCUUUCGCCUGUGACGAAGCGUGAGUGACGGUAAUGAGUAAAGAAGCACCGGCUAACUACGUG